UCCGUGUCCACGGAGCUGCCUUUUGUCUGUCUUUGCUUCUGAUGUGUCUUAUGUGGCUCAGAGGCAGCCUGGCUUGCACAGAAACGGAUCUGUUUUAUAUAUGUAACUACAUCGGAAAAUUGGAUGCCUUCAGGACAGAACUUGCUCUGUGUGCAUAUAGACACUGACUAGAAAAUGGGGAUCUAUGUGCAUCCAUUAGGCAUGUGUGUUGUAUGAAUUGGGUGAGAGCUCUAUUUAUAGGCUCUGGGAGAAGAUUAACAUUUAUAUUUUCCCUGUCAUUCAUUGUAUGGCUUUUUUCUUUCUUUCUUUCCUAUACGUUUGUGAUCUUAGCAGACAAUUAGAUUUAUCCCACGUUCCAGCUAAAUCUGGAUCCCGGAGACAUGUUAUUCUGCUUGAAUAUCAGUAUCUGUGAUUAAUUAGAGAAUCUGCUAUGUUGAUGGUAUGAAGAUCAUCUUUCCUGCUAGUCAUUCAAUAAGCCGGUUAAAUCCUGUGGACGACCCUUCGUUAGCUGGCCGCUUCAGCUGGUCGCUUAGCUUAUCGAGAGCAGGCUCUUCCUUCCACAUGGCUGACUGAGGAGCGAUGAAGGAUUGUUUGUUACUUUAGGUGAAAAGCAAACACUUGGGUCAGUCAGCUGUCAGGGUAUAAAGAGGGGCUGAUGUACCAAAUGCAUUGAUGUACUUCCGAGUCCCGGUCUGUGUGCAAUCUAAAGCGGGCGUGUGCAAACUUCUCGGUGUGCACACAGGUGAGGAGGAGGAGGAGGAGGAGGAUAGGAGGCGUGCAGACGGCAAUGUAGUUUUCUAAUCAUUUCUAGACCUCCCCCAGUGGCGUUCUUUGGCCCUCCCUUGUUAAGCUCCUUUAGGCUAAGUCACGGUUCUUCUCACCUUCCCUUGCUUUUAAGGUCCCAUGGCACAUAUCGCCGAUCCCUAAAUUCAGGGAGACCCACAUGUCACAAGCACGUAGCACACAAAUGGCUCAUAGGUGUCCUUAGUCGUUCCUCUGAGGUAAAAUGCUAAGGCUGACACUUGCAGCACACCCAUAAACCACCGAGGGCUAGUCAGAGCUUUGUGCUUCCCUUUUCCAGAUUGCUUUUCUCCAAACUUGAAUUAUUACAGCCCCGAGGGUUAUUAAGAUGGUUAAACUUCAACUCCUACAAAAAACGUGUAUGCCUACCAGGUUUUAGAAUGCAUAAAUGUGGCCCAUCAUCUGAUCAUUAAGUAAUAUAUGCACGUGACCCUUUAGGGAUAUCUUAAUUUUUUUUUUAAUUAAUGACCUAUGCAUUUCUUUCCCCCAUGUCCAACAGACAGUCACUGGUUAUGCAGCUGGGAUUCUGGGUGUUGAAAUAGGAUGGAAAUGGAAGUUGUUACAGCUCUGAGCAGGUUUAAGACUUACUUAGGGCAGUAAAGAGAUGGUAUUAAUAAUCACAAGACCUAGCAAACAAAUUGAAUGCUGCUCUGGCAUUACUUAUAUUGACUGUACCUUUCUGCAUUGCUACUCUUUCCCUCUGUCUUUACCUGAAUUGGGGCAUAUCAUUCCCCAGCCCUUGUCCAAAUCUGUUCUGGUCCGUGAGAAGUUGGGUUUUAGAUUCACUGAGUUAAUCGUCCACACUGAAGGACUUUAAUUCGGCUUAAUUUUCUUCUGAGUAUUAAACACUUAUGAACAAAUAUAAUUCCCCUUUCGAACGUAUUUAACUAGAAGGUAAUCUCUUGGUUUUAUUUUUUCUAAAGGAGUUUGAGGAAAGAGUAUGCAGAAUAACCAUGUGCGAAUUGUGCAUAAAAUGCAUCAAAAAAAAAAAAUCCCGAGAAUCGUGGGAAGAUGAAAUCCUAGAUUGUGGCUUUACCUGGUUUUUUCCAAGUGGUGUAUGGUAUCUUCCAGAAAAUAAGAUCACCUUGUUAACUUGCACCAUGAGACAGAAUCAAAAAGGCAGCUUUGAUUUGCUGUGUACAGGGAUUAAUUAACUGUGAAGAUGAAGUAAAUCAUGAAAUUGUGUCAUCAAUUAAAUAGUGUCAUCAAUUAGUGUGUUUCAUGCUUUCGUGCACCAUUCGUUUGGUGCCAAUAUUGUGAGAAGAGUUUGUCUACCUUUAUGAUAAUAGUCUGUUGAUUGGAUUGCCAUGGGCUACUUAAUGCUGAGCUUAAAGCCCUCCAUGGUUGGCCCACUUUAAAAAUCAGAUUUCAUUAAUGUAAAAAUCUGUUAGACCUGCUCAACUUCCAUUCGGUACCCUAGUCUAGCUUUUGUUUUUCUUGUGGCACAUUCUGACCUGCAUUUAUUCAUUCUGUUGCCUUAGCAACUAGCACCACACUUCCAUUAACUAUGGUGUAGUGAAGGUCUUUUUAGAAGAAGACAGUAGACAUCAAGAAGAUAUAAUUAAUGCUGGUUAAAAUGUCAGAGUCCAGCCAUGCAUGCACUUUGUUUUGGAAACAUAUUCUAUUGAUCAGUUAAGUUUAAAGAUUUUGUAGAGAUAGAUAACUUUUGAAGAAAACAUUUACCCAAGGCUUAAUUUAUUUUUGCUAAAUAUAUUGUAUACACUCUUAGACAUAAACACAAUGUAUGUUAAUUUUUAUCUAAUGACAAUCUUUAACUUUAGUAAAGGUUACUUAAUAGUGAUUCCCGAACAUGCUUAGAGAAGAAGGAAGCUCCUCCCCAUGUGCUUUUUAACUCUUUACUGUCUUUUACAACUUCUCCUUGGGCUCUUUAUACUUACCCUUGAUUCUAUAGGUACAGGAAUCACUUUUCAUAUCUUUAAAACAAAAGAAUAAGCUUUUGCUCUAUGCCUUCGUCAUCAUUUGUAGAACAUCAUGGGCAUGGAUUAGAUCCAAAGCAUCAUUAAGAAUAUGAAGAUAUGGGGUUGGGGAUUUAGCUCAGUGGUAGAGCGCUUGCCUAGGAAGCGCAAGGCCCUGGGUUCGGUCCCCAGCUCCGAAAAAAAGAACCAAAAAAAAAAAAAGAAUAUGAAGAUAUAUAGAAAGUGGUGCAAUUCAAAAAGGACUACAACAUGACUUAAAGCCAGCUAAGACUUUGGGAAAGUCACGUGCGUGUUGACAUCACAAGCCCUCUCACCAAUCAUGCGUCUGAAGUCCUCCCUAGUCCCACCCUGCCUGUUUCCUCUAAAGACAAGCAUCACAUCUGCUCUGCAUAAUCUCCCUGCUUCUCACCAGACCGGGGAAUGCCGUGGGGGGUGGGGGGGUUCCUCUGAGCCUUGUGCCUUUCUUCAGCCUUUGCAAUGUAUGUGACAUGACUAAGUUUUCAUGUUGCUUAUUCUCCCAGCAAGGAGUUUAGGGAUGUAUCCACUGUUAUGCAGACUUGCUUGUUUUUUUUCCUUACUAUAUUUAUUGCUGCCACCCCGAUCUUUCUAUUUCUGAAAUGACUGUUCCGUAAGUUGUCCAAGUCUCAAAUCCUCUAUUUCUUCUCCUAUGUCUUUGCUCCUUAUGUCCUCUCCUGCUCCUCGGGAACUGUCAUUUCUUUUCCCUUCCUUAUAUUUUUUAUUCUUAAAGGUCCCCCUGCCUAGUUUACAUAACUUCCCUUAAGGACUCUAGUCCCUAGUAGUGUGUCUUUCAGAACUUGCUUAGUGGUUGAAUUUUGGAGCCAUCAUUAAGGAUGAAGUUUCCACUCGUGUAUAUCUCGUCUUCUCAACUAGAAUAGAAAUUCAGCAAGUCUUGUUUGUGUGCGAUUCCCUUGCCUUUCUCACAGCUCCUAGUGUAAUGCUAGAGGCAUAGAAAUCCACCCAUAAAUACCAACACACACAACAGAUCGACAGGCUGGACCUCCAGCCUCGUUUAUAAACUAAAAAUCUUUUUGGCCAAUCAGAGUACGGAGCAUUAGUUGUCUCAUUCUGGAAUUGAGUCCUCUGUAAAUAUUUUCCAUGCGCUUGAAAGUGUUAAUUACUAGGGACCUAACGAUGAACAAAACAUGACGCUUACCUCAGUCAGGGCAUACUGUUGUCCCGAGUAUUUGCCUGCACACUCUACAAACAUUCCUUCAUGCACAUAGACUAUAAGAUAGAAAUCUUUCCCCUCAUCUUUCCGUACAAUCAGCAUCAACCAGCAGAUUUUCCUAUAUUAAAUUAUAGUACAUAGUGGGAAAUGCCAACAAUCUGUUGGAGUUCAAAGUCAAGAAAAAUGGAGACAGUGUUAGCAUCAAUCCUUCCUAGGCAGGACUGCAGCAGAUUGAUGGUGCGAAGGGCAUUUUAUAAAGUGUGUAUGACUUGGAGAAGGUCUGACUCAGAGGCUCUCGGGGCACACUAUCCAACAGUCACAUUUGUACAUUCUAAAGGAGAAAAGAAUGAAAUUAUAUAAUACGUCAUUCUUUUAGCGUGACCUAUUGACUUGGGAUGGUUUGACCAUUGUUCAAGUGUUCAGGGUGAAGGCUUUAUGGAGUCUGUUAUCAAGGUAAUACUGGAAGCCACCCACACACAAGUGGGCGUUUCUGUGAGCUUGAGUGGAUAGCACUCAUAAAGCUCUUACUGGAGGUCAAAGUGAGCAGUGCCCAUUGCACACUGAAGGAGACCCAAGGAGCUAUUUCAGGUUAUAGAGGUGGACAAAAGAUGCAAAGCUGAUAGGUACAUAUGUAACUGAAAUUUUUCUCCCACAUUUGUGGUGUAUAUUACAUGCUAAUGGAACUACAGAUCUCUUCUAUAUUCCAGAACUUUGCUGGAAUAAAUUCUGUUUUGCAGCUCAUCUGCCAAAAUGACAUUUUAAGUCUUGGCAAACCACCAUCCAAGUAAGAAGUUAGACCUGUGAACAACAGAAAUAACUUGACCUUAAUGGUGAAGACUAAUCACUCCAUGAUGGCUUCUUACUUAACUAUGUUUUCAGGCAAAUCUAGGACGCUUUUAUGAUUUAAAUGUAUACAAGAAAAAUAUCCAUUUCCUCUAUCUUCCUGUUUCUGAGGUAGGCUGGGCUUUGAUUUGAGUGGGUGGCCUUAUAUUACAAAAGCAUCUAUAAGUUUCCAAACUUAUAGAUAGUAGUAGGAGUAGACUCACUACUACAAAUGUGGGUCUUUUUUUUUUCAACCAUUGACAAUUAAAAUCUGUCCACAUCUAGCAGUCCGUGCCGAAGGGAAACCAUUCUGGACAAGAGCUAAAUGACAAAUACAAGAAGCAGUGACAGUGGAGGGGUGGUGGGAGAUAGAGAAAGGAAGACUUCUCAUCAGCACGCUCUUGUCUCCCUAAUGAUUUGAUUUACUCGUGGAAUCUAGCAGCAAUGCCAUUUGGGGUGAUUGUGUUAAUAUUUUGAGCUGUCUAAAGGUGCAGGACAAAAUGUUGGUGUCAUGAGAGCUAUUAAUUGUUCCUGUGCGUGCCAUUAGCCUGGGAAAGGAUACUGAUUGCAAGUGCAGCACAGAAAGUCAGAAAUGAGGGCAUGUGCUGGACUGACCAUGCUGAAAGACCGACUCUCGGGGAGGAUGUCAGCCAUGGCUCCAAUCUGAUGAUGGAAAGGGGCCUUUCCUUCCAUCUGGAAUUACUCUGAUUAAAAUUUUAAGCACUAAAAUAUGUUGCCCCAUUUUCUAAUAAUCCAGUAAUGUAACUCCCAUUACUAACUAAUGUUCACAUGAAUUAGCCUCUAAUUUAGUCAUGGAGCACAUUUGCAUAAUUUGAUCUCCAGAAUUGCUUCAAAUGACCAGAUAUUUGGGGUGAGGAAUUUACAUCAUGAGUCUAAAAACUUAGUGGAGCUGCUGAGUUACAGACUAAUCUUAAGAAAUCCAACCAAAAUCAUAUUCCUCUCUGCUUUAAAAGAGCAGAUCUCCCAGGCAACUCGCUCAAUGGCUGUGACCUCCAUUUUCUCAUUUCCCGGCAAUGCCUUAACCGCUCCAUAAUCCAGUCUGUUUCCCAACUUUCCUACAAACUGCACUCUUGCAAAUCAGCCUUGCUCUACUUCUUGACAAACUUCUGCUCCCCUCUGGCCUCUUAGUUUGUGACACCUUCCGUCUCCACUCCUUACCCUCAGCCACUUGCCCUGGCUCCAACUUUUGGACAUCACCCUACACUUUGCACUGCAGACAUGCUCUGAGAGCCAUGUCUUUUUGCCUUGCUUUACCUCUUUCUACCAGUUUCCAUCACUACUUGCUGCGCAUUUCCAUAUGCGUGGAUGCCUGGCAUGUAGCACAGACCGUCAUAAAAUGAAUGCCCAACAAAUGCUAACUGCAACUGUGGCCCAGAGGGCUCCGAGGUACACGUUUGCUUUCAUCAGCUGUGCUUAAAUCCUUCAGAGGUUCUUAAGUGUGGGAAAUGGUAAGGUAUUUCAAAAUCCAUAGUGUGACUAUCAGAGUUGGGAACCCUGCUGAGCUGGGUCCAGCUAAUUCUCCAGCCUUGUCUAUCUCUUUUUAUUUCUUCUCUAUGCAGUAGGGAACUGAAUUGUGAGCCUUUCCUCCACUGCCUGGCUUUUCACACACCCCUCUCUGCCAAGAGUGAUCUUUCUUCUCUCUUAACUCCUUUCGGAUCCUUCAACUCUUACUUCAGUUGUGACAUCUUUUAGCUGUCAAUCUGCUUCUGACCUUCCAGGUAGAACUUAUGUAUGCUUCUUCCGUAGGACCCUUCCUUAAAAUUUCUUCUUGGCCUCUAUCACUUGUAUAUUGUCAACCUAUUCCCUAUACCCGUAUACUUCUACCACACAUAAAUAUUGGACCAGAUUUUGACCAUCUGUGUAAAGGGCCAUGCAGUUAGAUCAUUUAGACUUUGCAAGAUAUAUGGUCUCUGUGGGGGAAAAAAAAUCUGUCUUUGUUGUUGCAGUAAAAUAGCUAUAGAUGAUAUGAAUAUGAAUGAGUGUAGUUUGGUUCCAGUCAAAUUUUAUUUAUUAAAACAGGCAGAUUAAUCAUAGGGCCACAGUUUGCUGCCCUGCCCCACAGUUAGAAAUUAGCCUUGAUCCCAUGUCUCCAGAUCUAAUGAAAGAAAGCAGAAAGAAGCAAGCAAGCUAGGAGAAGAGUGAGAAGAGAGGAAAGCAUGGGCUGGGGGCAGGCAGGCAACAGGCAGAUGGCUACAGGAGGGGAUUCUGAUGGUCUGUUUGAAAGAUAACCUCGGUGAGCUGCUGAGGACAGUUAGAACAGAAUCCGGUCUUCAGGACUUUGACAGCGUUUUGCAGACUACAGUAUAUUUUCAGCAAGCGAGCUGAAGAGGCAUGAGACAGAGAAAAACACAGCUGUACAGCAAGUCUGUCUUCCCUCUGUGUGGAACUCCUGUCUCUUCCUUCUUCACCUGAUUUUUCUCAAAUCCAUUUAAACAUCAUCUCCUCAAAGAAAUGCUUCCUAACCCUACCCUGACUCUUGAGGCUGAUCUUUCCCUUCCCAGUGUAUCCAUAACACACCCACAGAGCCCUGUUUUUAGCCCUGUUUUUAGUCCUCAUAUUCCUUUGCCAUUAUUCUAAUCUGUUCAAAUCUUGGUUUCUACCCUAGAGAGUGAAUUUCUUAGAGGAAUAGACAGGGUAGUAUUUACAUUUCUAUUCCCAAAGCCUAGCACACUGCCUGGCAUAUAGUAGCUUUUCAACAUUGAUGAAUGGAAUGGUUAAAGUAUUCUACAGUAUUCUACAGAUUCCUAUAAGUUAACCUGCACAAUUCAUACUUCUAUCAGUAUUCCCAUACUUAUAAGUGAAGAGAAUGAGACUCAACCAGGUUUAAGAGAGCUGUUAGCAGAGUCAGGUUUACAAAGCCAGCUCUCUGUGAUGAAAGUUCCCUCUCUGACUUUAGUAAGGGUCUUUACUGUCCCCUUCACCAAAUGCUUCAACUGAACCCAGGAACGACUGGCUCUAGUCUCAAAGCUCUUCCUGUCUUCAAUCCUUUUGCCCCUUUCUUGCACUUUUUUUCUCUCAGUGCACCUUACCUGUCAAUCUCCUCCCCACUAUUUCCUAAGAAGACCAGUGCUUUAACCAUGGCAGGGCCUACAUUAUCAACAAAGGUAUUCACCUUCGUUUCUGUCCACAGUUGCCUCAGAGUAAGGCAAUAAGUCCAAGCUCAAGGUAUCAACAGGAUUGAUUCUACUGAGGGCUCUGAGAAAAGGUUAUGUUCUGGUCCUGUUGCCUUGAUUAUGGCCUCCUUAUUUACCUCUGUAUUUUGACACUGACUUCUAUGUCUUGACAUUUCUGUGCUCACAUUUCUCUUCUUGUAAGGAGAGUAGUCACUCUUGGUUGCAGACCAUCCUAAUGACCUCAUUUGGUUUGAUUAUUUAUGUAAAGACCCUAUUUCCAAAAUAAGGUAACAUUCUAAAGGGCUACAGGUUAGGACUUCAACAUAUCAACUUAGGAAUGGCAUGAUCAAAUUAGUAACCCUCAAUAAAUGUAUGCCUAUGAAUCCUUUAUUAUUCCUCAUAUCAUUAAGCAUGGCUAUGAUAAAUAAAUAGUUGGUUAACUAAAUUAAAGUCAAAAGUCAAGCCCAGGUCAAUCUGAGGCCAAUAGGAAAGUUGCCAAUAGUUGUGGAACAUCAGAGAUAGGCAAACCAAGAAGGUGUGAAUUGGGAUAAAUUAGUGUGAUCACCUCUUAUUCUUGGGGAGAUAGUCAAUUAGUCAAUCAGAAGAGUACCAAGAGGUAAGGUAACAGAGAAAGAGAGAGAGAGAGAGAGAGAGAGAGAGAGAGAGAGAGAGAGAGAGAGGAGGGAGAGAGAGAGAGAGAGAGAGAGAGAGAGAGAGAGAGAGAGAGAGAGACUUGGUCCAGACUUAGGAAGGCUUCUCACCAUACACAGUGUUACAGAAACACAAGAGAAUUUCCAGUCAAGCUUGCCUUGAACAAUGAAGCCUUCUGAGUUGAAUGAUUCAUUUCAUGCCUGCUGGGGACAGUGCGUCUAGCCACAGCAGUCCCCAUGGAAGACAUGAUUUGUCCUCCAGUAGCAAUUGUUUCUAAGGUGUAAUGAGUCACCAGUGGCUAUACACUCUCAUCCAGAACAAUACCCAGGCAAGAGAGACAAAGUGACAAUGCCCCAUUGAUCACUGCAAUUACCUCCCUGCCCUCUUCCUAGAUUCUGCAAGCUGGCUGUGUCAGCCAUGUGCAUUGGAAACUAUCCAUCAUUUAAGGCCAUAUGACUUGAAGUAAUAUGGAGAAAUAAGAGCCCUUCAGAUGCUAGGUAUGGAUUAUAGAGGUGUGUAAGGAGGAGAGAAAAUUAAGUGAAUGUUUAUGACAGGUUUCCAAACAUAAGUUCACUGAUUUUUAUUACCUCUGUCCACAGAGUUAAGUUUCAGAUUGCUAUGCUCUUAUCUUCCUUUUAUUGAGCAAAGUUGAUCAGGAUUUCCAUGUAAAGACUUGUAGAGCAUCUGUGUUUAUUGGCCAAUGUGUGUUUAUAUGGUUGGCAAGAAAUGAAGAGGGAGGGUUGUUCUUCUAAAUAUUUGAAGGCGAUCUUGAGCUUCAAGUCCUAGAACCUAAAGUAUAUCAUGUUUCCUUGAUAAAAGUCAUAUUCCACAUCAUUUAAAUCAACAAAGCACAGUCCCAUGAAGGAAAGCUGAUCAUCUGGGUUUCACUAGACCUGAACGAUGAUAUAGUCUGUCUGAUUCUCUGCUGCCCCAGAACAAAAUUAAUAAAUACACCCAUAGUCUCAGUUCCAGAUAUCCUUCAUCUUUCAAAAGGACAAAAGCAAGAGAUGAUAUAGAGCAAUGUAACCACUGAAGAGCUGGAUCAGUUUCAGGAAAGAUCCUUUGAGAAGAAUAGGGUGAAAGUCUGUUACAGAGUCAGAAAAUGCAAUUCAUCAAUGUCCUGGUCAUUAUGACAUCAUAACAUCAUACUAAGUCAUUAUGACAUAGGAAAAAGAAUAAAGCCAUAUUAAAUUGGCAUUGUGCUUUACAUAUAUUAUCUAUGUUUGGGUGACAGAAGAAGUAGAUUCUGUAUUUAGUUACAUCAAAAAUGGUUUGGAAAUAGGUUAACCUUCCUCUCUACAAUCUCUAAACAAGGGUCUCAGAAGAAAUGUCAGUACUCCCUGGAUUGCCUUUCAGUUCAAUAAGUCAGGCCUGAUGACAUCAGCCUCUGCCCUGAUCCCAAAGUUAUUUAUAAACGAUGACCAACAGUGUAUUACUAACUGCUCAAAUCCAAUUUCAGCUUCCCGGCCCCUCAUUAACCUUAUCUACCUUGGUCUGUGAUUCUCUUGACCACUGUUUCUCUCCUGAGUGUACAUCACUUGGGCAUCCCCCAUCCCAGUGCUGUUCUUCCUAGUCUCCUUUGUAAGCCUCCCUAUUCCUGCCUGUACCCAUAAUGCUCUCUUGUCAUUCAACCAACAUGACACUUUCUACCUUUCAUAAAGUCUUGUGGCUCCCCAAACCCAGUGCCUAAUGUGGGGAUGAUGACCUUUCCCAGUAACCUUCUUUUACGGAAAGUUUGGGUUAAAUGUUGAUGAGAAAGGAAGUCAUAUGGAACUAGGAGGGAACCGCUGGUGUUGGAACAGCAGAAACCUGGGCAUGAGCUCAUUUCAUAAAGCAGAAGCCAGAGAAGCCGUGUUCAUUGGAUGGGACAAGUAGCAGACAUCUAGUAAAGGAAACGCUACAGACCAGAUGGAGGAAGCACAGAAAAAUAUGCACGAUACCACCUACUCUGGAUCCGCAUGCUAUUUCUUCAAGAGCUACAGAGGGGGAAAAAAAUCAAUUAAAUCUUACUCUACCAGCCUCCCUUCCAAAUGGUUCCUAAAUAUAAAAUGUAUCAUAUUCCGUGUUUCAUAAAGCGAAAUCAUAUGUCAAGAUAAAAGUACAGCAGGUCACUAGACAUUAUUUUUAUAGUUACCAAGCACGUGACAAGCAUCCGUAUCAGCUUAAAGCCACCCUGCUAUAGCAACUGGCAGAGCACAUAAGAAGUGGACACUGAAGUUCCAAAAUCAAGGAUACGGGAAGACCAUAACCCUUCUCAAACUCACCGUGAAUAAAAUUUCAGAGUCAAUAAGGAAUCUGCCCCUUACUUGUGGCCUAUUCACAAAAUGAAUCUGGAAAUAAAGGCUAGAUGAGCUGUCA